rnacentral:misc_RNA from 1 species
GAGGUGCUUUGACAUUUUCUUAAAAGUCUUCAAAUAAACCUCUAUAAUGGAAGUCUUCUCUUGAAAGGACUGCAUUGUUAAUCUUUCAGCAUUUCUUGCCUCUUCCCGAAAUGAUUUCUUCUCCUCCAAAGCCCUCUGCAAUUUAUCAGGCGAUUGAACAAUUUUUGAACGUAGGCUUGCAUUUUCUUGGACACUUUGUACCAGAUCAAACUCUGCCUUUGAAAUCUCCUCGUCCAUUUCCCCAGUCUUCUCCUUUAACUUUCGGAAAGAAGCUCUGAGUGACAACUGGUGAUUGUUGAGGCCUGCAAUGGUCUGAUGCAAUUCUUUAACGUUGGCAUCUACCUCUUGCACAAGUGGCAACUCCCUUUCCC